UCAAUUUAUCAUCUGAAUAAAACUUCCUUUUUCCACUUUCUUAUCAGUCUUUAAAAAACGAUGAGCAAUCUGCCAAAACUGAUGUUAAGAAACUUCUGGAAUUAGGACAGCAACAAAGAGAAGAAAUGAAAUCUCUUCAGGAGGCCCUGCAAAAUCAACUUAAAGAGACAUCGGAGAAAGCAGAAAAACAUCAGGCUACUAUUAAUUUUUUAAAGACUGAAGUUGAAAGAAAGAGCAAAAUGAUCCGAGACCUCCAGAAUGAGGUAAGAUUUAUUACAUCUUAGAUACAUUUUAUAUAAAUCAAAUAAUAUACAUAAAUGCACAUAUA
rnacentral:lncRNA from 1 species